rnacentral:rRNA from 1 species
AAACUGAAGAGUUUGAUCCUGGCUCAGAACGAACGCUGGCGGCGUGGCUAAGACAUGCAAGUCGAACGGAUCAUACAAUUGGGUAACCGAGCGUAUGGUUAGUGGCGAAAGGGUGAGGAAUGAAUAGGUAACGUACCCUGAACUUCGGGAUAGCGUCUGAAUGCUUCGGCAUUCUUCCGAAAGGGGCAUUAAUACCGAAUGAUGUCAUUGUAUUUAAGUAUGGUGACCAAAGAUUUAUCGGUUUAGGAGCGGCCUAUUUCCUAUCAGCUUGUUGGUGAGGUAAUGGCUCACCAAGGCUCUGACGGGUAGCGGGACUGAGAGGUUGGCCCGCCACAUCGGGACUGAGACACUGCCCGGACCUCCACGGAGGGCUGCAGUAACGGAUAUUGGGCAAUGGGCGAAAGCCUGACCCAGCGACGCCGCGUGUAGGAAGAAGCCCCUCGGGGUGUAAACUACUGUCAGGGGUUAGAAAGUCCGGGUUCGCCCGGAUUGAUCAGCCCCAGAGGAAGUCACGGCUAACUUCGUGCCAGCAGCCGCGGUAAUACGAAGGUGGCAAGCGUUGUUCGGAAUCACUGGGCUUAAAGCGCACGUAGGCGGAGAUGAAAGUGUCUUGUGAAAUCCCCCGGCUUAACCGGGGAAUCGUUGGGCAAACUACAUUUCUUGAGGCAAGCAGGGGUGUGUGGAACUCUUGGUGGAGCGGUGGAAUGCGUAGAUAUCAAGAGGAACGCCGAAGGUGAAGACAGCACACUGGGCUUGACCUGACGCUGAGGUGCGAAAGCGUGGGGAGCGAACGGGAUUAGAUACCCCGGUAGUCCACGCCGUAAACGAUGCCUACUAGGUUGUGGGGAUUCUGACAUUCUCACAGUCGAAGCAAAAGUGUUAAGUAGGCCGCCUGGGGAGUACGGUCGCAAGGCUAAAACUCAAAGGAAUUGACGGGGGCUCACACAAGCGGUGGAGCAUGUGGAUUAAUUCGAAGCAACGCGCAGAACCUUACCAGGGUUUGACAUGCUUGGAUGCUUGCUGGGAAACCGGUUAAGCUGCCCUCGGGUGAAACUUGCACAGGUGCUGCAUGGCUGUCGUCAGCUCGUGUCGUGAGAUGUCGGGUUAAGUCCUUUAACGAGCGAAACCCUUACCGUUAGUUGCCAGCGGGUCAUGCCGGGGACUCUAGCGGGACUGCCGGUGUUAAACCGGAGGAAGGCGGGGACGACGUCAAGUCAUCAUGGCCUUUAUGCCCAGGGCCUCACACGUGCUACAAUGGCGAUCACAAAGCGACGCAAGACCGCGAGGUGGAGCAAAUCGCAAAAAGGUCGCCCCAGUUCGGAUUGCAGGCUGACAACUCGCCUGCAUGAAGUCGGAAUCGCUAGUAAUCGCGUAUCAGCUACGACGCGGUGAAUGUGUUCCUGAGCCUUGUACACACCGCCCGUCAAGUGAUGGGAGUUGGGAGUACCCGAAGUCGGUUUGCUAACCCGCAAGGGAAGCGGAGGCGGGGACGACGUCAAGUCAUCAUGGCCUUUAUGCCCAGGGCCUCACACGUGCUACAAUGGCGAUCACAAAGC